GUCCACGCCUAAACGAUGUCAACUGGUUGUUGGAAGGGUUCCCUUUCAGUAACGAAGCUAACGCGUGAAGUUGACCGCCUGGGGAGUACGGCCGCAAGGUUGAAACUCAAAGGAAUUGACGGGGACCCGGCACAAGCGGUGGAUGAUGUGGUUUAAUUCGAUGCAACGCGAAAAACCUUAACCUACCCUUGACAUGUCUGGAAUCUCGCAGAGAUGUGAGAGUGCUCGAAAGAGGCCAGAACACAGGUGCUGCAUGGCCGUCGU
rnacentral:rRNA from 1 species